rnacentral:lncRNA from 1 species
GAGACCAACUUCAGAGAGCAGCAGAGGGGAAAGCAGUGAAAGACACUGAGCGCAAAGUAGAGGAAGGUUCUGUGUGUCUUUAAGCACCCAAUUCUGGUGCUCCUGAAGACCCAGGGCAGCACAGGAGAAUGUCUGCCCCAGCAAGAACCAGAAGGUCAGACCUGAACUCCCUGGAGAAAAUGGUCAACAAGACAACUCUGACCACCCAGAGAGUCCUCCAUACACACAUCCUGGCUCCAGACUCUCCUACAGUGCAGCUGCCUUUGGGAGGAAUGGCACAACCUGACCACCAGUGGAUGGAAGAGUUCCAGCAGUGGGCUGAAGAGGAGAAAGAGAAGGCCCUAAAGCUUCAAGAAGAGGAGCGUGUGAGGGAGUGUGUGUCGACAGCAGUGCAGUGUGUGAGGGAGGAGUGCAAGAAGGAGGCUCUGAGAGAGAGACGGGCCCUGCAAGACAUACAUACUGAGGAAAUAUCCCAGCUCCACAACAGGCUGCAGCAGCUGCAGGACAGUCUGGUGCGGGUCUGCGGGGAGCGGAUGCAGUACGAGACGGAGCUUAAGAAGGUGCAGGCCAGUUACAGACAGUUUAUUGAUCUGACGGACUCCUCCCUCCACUCUGAUUACUUGUUGAAGCUCAGACGGCUGGGCAGGGAGCCUGGCCUCAUGGAGACCGCCACGCAGACUGAUGAGGUCACCGACAAAUCCUCCAUGGCCUGACUUCACCUCUCUAUAUAUUUUUAUUGCCACUUUGAACUCAUAUAGUAGCUUUAUUAUGCUGUAUAUUAUGUUGUGUGCUACGAAGAAGCUGAAAUGCCUUGCUACAGACGGUUAACUGUACUGUCUCAUACAGAAUAAAAGAUGCUGAAAUACAUU